GGGGAUGUAAAGGUUUCGACGGGGGUUUUGAACCUUGGUAAGCGAGUAGCGGCGCGGAACCGCUAUAAAAGCCGCAAACUUUAAAACAACUGACACUAGAACAGUUAGAGCAGCAGCUUAAUUAUAGCUGCUUGUCCUCUCAGAGAGCACCGCGGCUCUGAUUUGGGCAUCGAUUAAGCGGUAAAUGUGAACCGGAGAACGCCUCGGCUUCGGUCACACAUAAGAGGCUACCGAGGGUAUAAGCCUGUUAUUGGGCGUAUAUCCGAGGGAAUUACAAUCCAAUAACUACACUCGUAGAAAGCCUUGGCUAGAGAUUUUCGGACGGGAGUUCAAUUCUCCCCAUCUCCACCA
rnacentral:tmRNA from 1 species